CUGUAGAUCACGACUUGGCACUCCUGGGCUGCCCACUGCAGCUCUGGGGCAAUCUCAGUGUUUAUGCUCCUUCUCCAGCUUAGAGGCAGCAGAGGAAGAUAUCUUAGUAGUGAUUAUGGCCAAGGAUCUUUUGCUUGACUCCUGGGAGUUCCACCCUAGAGAGAUGCAGGAAGAAUGUGUUAGGAAUAUGCUUUUGGCAUCUAAUCAUUCUUCAUAAAUCAAGAUGUGAAGUCAGUGAAGUAAGAGAUGAACAAUUUCUGGAAAUGGAAUCUCCACAGCUACUUCUGGACAACCUCAGCCCAUUCAUCUACAAACCUCCGUGCCCGGCACGUUGUCCAGGCUGGACCCCCAGCCGGAUGGUGUAUUAGGAGUUCCUUUACAUGCCUGCUGGGGGCGACAUCCUUUCUCACAUUUGUAACAGUGAAACAGCAAAAGAAUGAACAUGACUAACUCCAUUUUUGUUUGAGUGGUCCUUAUCUAUGUUUAGAUACCCAUUCCUGCAUGUGGGCUAGAAUAAUUUUAGAGCACUGGGAUGAAACACUACAAUGGGAGUCAUACAGUUUUUGAAAUGAACUCUGGGAUUAAAAAGGAGUAUUUGAGCAACCGACCAUAUUUUGUUAAAGAUUUAUAGGAGGAAGGAGCAUUGUGACCUGACCAGGGACAAAGAAAUUCCCAACUUCCUUGGACCCUUGCUGGCACCCAGCUGUCUAUAGUCAUAGGUUAUGUGUUGAUCCCAACACCCUCCUCUUCCCCCUGCCCUUAACAUAAAAAGAGCCUGAAAUUUGUACCGACUUGUGAUGGUCUUUGUGACACUAGUCCACCAUCUCCCCAGGUUGCC
rnacentral:lncRNA from 10 species